rnacentral:lncRNA from 1 species
GGGGGUGAUGAAUUAGGGGGAGUCUCUAGGCUCCACUCAUGCGUGGGGGGAAGUGGGAGGGACAGAGGUCACAGAGGGUCUCCCAGGAGGGAGAGGAACCGGGGGAGUGAGAGACGAGAGGGACCCGGCUGUGCAGCAACGCCUCUUGCUAUAAAUCUUGGGGGGUCCGAGCCGCAAAGGGAUACAAGCGCGUGACAGCCGCAGCCAGCUAGCCAGGGGACAGACGGGCGGCGGUGGCGGCGACGGGCUGCUCCUGGCGGGGGGGAGAUCCGGAGGAGCCUGGCUCGCCCAGGGCUGAGCUGCUCGCCCCAGACAGCGCGCAGAGAGCCCGGGCGGGACCUCCCGACUUUGCCAUUGCACCGCCAGCUCACCACGCGGGGCGCGCACCAGCCUGCAAGUUCCUGCUGCCUUAUAAAGUUUAUAUUGUGCCUGAAACCAAC